rnacentral:rRNA from 1 species
UACGUAGGGUGCAAGCGUUGUCCGGAAUCAUUGGGCGUAAAGAGCGUGUAGGCGGCCAGAUAAGUCCGCUGUGAAAUCUCGAGGCUCAACUUCGAGCUGUCGGUGGAAACUGUCUGGCUAGAGUCCGGAAGAGGAGAAUGGAAUUCCUGGUGUAGCGGUGAAAUGCGCAGAUAUCAGGAAGAACACCCGUGGCGAAGGCGGUUCUCUGGGACGGUACUGACGCUGAGGUGCGAAAGCGUGGGGAGCGAACAGG